CUGCAGAUAAACUUCAGUUGUGGCCCCAGUCCAUCCAAGAAGCCUCAAAGCCCGAAAGGAGCAGAUGCUGCCUGCAGGAUGCCCAUGGCACGGUGUACAAUGAUGCCAGUGAGCAGCUUGCAAGAAGAUGGUCUGCGAUGUCAGACGUGCUCUGUGUUUAGAC